GGCCUACAUACGGAAGUGCAAGGGGAGCCUGCUCCCCGGCUAUGGCGAUAAACGGAAGCUGGAAUAAGCGUAGUGGACCCGGGGGCGGUACCCGGCGUCUCCACCAGAUAUCCCGAAGGCCCGGUGCCUGAAGGAUCAGAGGGGACGAAACAGGCUCGACACGCGUGGUAAAGACCUUCCUUUUGCCCGGCAUUGUACCACCGUCAUCGGGCUAAAUCACAAGUGCCAACGAUAACUCAGAGGUGCUCGCUGUCGCUGCAUAAGCGAUAAGCGCGGUUCGGGAGGGCACCGGGCAACAGAAGCCCUCCCACC
rnacentral:tmRNA from 1 species